GACGAACGCUGGCGGCGUGCCUAAUACAUGCAAGUAGAACGGAGUGGCGAACGGGUGAGUAACGCGUAGGUAACGGCCGCAGAGGGGGGGAUAACUAUGGGAAAGGAAAGCUAAUACGGCAUACGGUGAGAUGGAGCUGCGUUGUAUUAGCUAGUUGGUGAGGUAAAGGGCCACCAAGGCGACGAUACAUAGCCGACCUGAGAGGGUGAUCCGGCACACAGGGACUGGGACACGGCCCAGAAUCCCACGGGAGGCCGCCGUAGGGAAUCUUUGGCAAUGGACGGCAGUCUGACCGAGCAACGCCGCGUGAGUGAAGGAGGUUUUCGGAUCGUAAAGCUCUGUUGUUCGAGAAGCGUUACCUAACCAGAAAGGGACGGCUAACUCCGUGCCAGCAGCCGCGGUAAUUC
rnacentral:rRNA from 1 species